GGUACACAGAUCUGAAUGUGAGAACAGAAGCCCCGCCCACCUGUUGUUCAGAACUUCUGUUCAGGAGGAGCGGGCAAUGGGAAGUUCCCCAAGGAAUAGGGAAGCGAGUAGCAUGCUGGGGCCCGAGGAAGAGAAGGAGUAGCAGCAACAGCUGCAGGCAAGCAACGCUGAGCUGGCGGUGAGGAGCUGAAAAGCACCAGAUGAGCAAGCACGGCGUGUUGGAUCGUUGAUUUCAGAUGUCAAGGACAAGUUACUGAGCUACACUGUAUGCUGAAGUAAAGUUGAUCAGAGGAAACCUGAGAUGGCUGCUCCGGCUUGAUGACAUGCUGAAAUGUUCACAGACUGAGCCUCGGUGUCCAUCCGGUGGAGUUGUGAGUCAUUUUGGAGAACCUCAGAAUUGC